rnacentral:sRNA from 1 species
AUUUAUGUGCCCCUGUGCAUGGGUGUGGAUGUGAUUUCCUGGCGUGCAGGGUGGAAGAUGCAAUGCUGAUGUUUGAUAAAACUACCAACAGGCACAGAGGGUUUGGCUUUGUCACUUUUGAGAAUGAAGAUGUUGUGGAGAAAGUCUGUGAGAUUCAUUUCCAUGAAAUCAAUAAUAAAAUGGUAGAAUGUAAGAAAGCUCAGCCGAAAGAAGUCAUGUUCCCACCUGGGACAAGAGGCCGGGCCCGGGGACUGCCUUACACCAUGGACGCGUUCAUGCUUGGCAUGGGGAUGCUGGGAUAUCCCAACUUCGUGGCGACCUAUGGCCGUGGCUACCCCGGAUUUGCUCCAAGCUAUGGCUAUCAGUUCCCAGGCUUCCCAGCAGCGGCUUAUGGACCAGUGGCAGCAGCGGCGGUGGCGGCAGCAAGAGGAUCAGUCCUGAAUAGCUACAGUGCUCAACCGAAUUUUGGCGCGCCCGCUUCCCCGGCAGGCUCCAACCCGGCGCGGCCCGGAGGCUUCCCGGGGGCCAACAGCCCAGGACCUGUCGCCGAUCUCUACGGCCCUGCCAGCCAGGACUC